GACGGUGACAUCACGUUGAAACACCGCUUCCUGUAAGAUCACCGAAGUUAAGCAACGUUGAGUAUGGUCAGUGCAUAGAUGGGUGACCGCUUGGAACUAACAGCUGCUGUAAG